rnacentral:rRNA from 1 species
AUUGAACGCUGGCGGCAGGCCUAACACAUGCAAGUCGAGCGAGCGGCGGACGGGGGAGUAAUGUAGGGGGACUGCCCGAUAGAGGGGGAUAAAUACUGGAAACGGUAGCUAAUAGCGGAUACUAUCGGAUAAACAAUAUGGGAUUAGCUAGUUGGUGAGGUAAUGGCUCACAAAGGCGACGCUCCCCAUCUGGUCUGAGAGGAUGAUCAGCCACACUGGGACUGAGACACGGCCCAGACUCCUACGGAGUCAGCAGUGGGGAAUAUUGCGCAAUGGGCGCAAGCCUGAUGCAGCCAUGCCGCGUGUAUGAAGAAGGCCCUAGGGUUGUAAAGUACUUUCAGUCCUGAGGCGUUACCGACAGAAGCAGCACCGGCUAACUCCGUGCCAGCAGCCGCGGUAAUUC